rnacentral:lncRNA from 1 species
AUUCUGUUUCAUCUCUGUAAGUCAGUUUUCUCUUCUGUUCACUCCAACCCCAUCUUUGGGAUUUUCAACAUGAAGACAACUGCUUUCGGCACCCUAAAUGUUUUUCUGGAGCACAAGCAGACACGAUGGAGAAACCUGUAGUGGCUGUAACUGAUUCCAAGGCUCCCCAGGGCUUUUGGAUGGAGCAGGGCACAUACAGGGAUGUAUUUGGAGCAUGGUUUAGGGGCCAAAGUCUGAAGAUCUGUGGUUUCUGUACAUUAGGAAAACAAACUCAAGUAAACCAAAGGCUCACCCUGAGCAGAUGAGAGCCACAAUUCAUAAGAACAUCUGUGUUCACCAGGAGAAGAUGAGCUGUGUGGUGUAGGGCAGGGCUCUGGUUCCUUUGAUGGAGGGUUCUGCUCAUUAUGGAGAUUAUGCUGGCGAGCCAGCCCUUCCUAAUAGACCCAUGAUAGGUCCUUGAUUUGAAGAGUGACUCAGUAGUUUCAAGUUUCUUGUUGCUUUUGGUACUUCACAUUUUUUCUUUCUUGGCAACAGUUCUAACAAGGCAUCCAGUUUUAAAACACUUACAUACCACUGGUACGUUCAUGCCAGGCUUUAUGACAAUGCUCACCACAAAAUGAAAAGAAGGAUAUCCAGCUCGCCCAAUUGGCCUUGUCUCUGAGCUUACUAACCAUUGCAAUAUGCAAAAUGAUCACCUUGCUGCAGUCCAGCCUUGACUUGAGAUGAAGUUUAUUUAUUCAUACACACCUAAGUCAUAUGUUAGAGGACAAUGUGCCAUGGCCAUAUUGAAAGACAGUGUUUCCACACAUUUGUGCCUGUGUGCCUCUGCUUAUCGUAAUGUUCUGCAUGCAAUAGGUAUUCUAGGAAUGUCUUUUUAAAAAAUCCAUGAAGUUGUUUAUAAAAAAGAUUUUUAGAGAUUCAGUGUAUGUUCCAUUUUUUCAGGAGUUUCUUGGGCUGGCAUCAUGGUGUAAGCACAUGUCAAAGUGAGAACUCAUGUUGUAUGAAGAACUUCCAUGAGGCCUCCCAUCUCUUCUCCCCAGCUCUUACCAUUGUACCCCAGAAAACCAACCUCCCUCACAGGAAUUCUCCAGCAGCAAGCAGCUCCAGAGAUGUAGCUGUCCUGAGGACCAAGAUGUCACAUCUGCACCCCAAGAUAAAGAAUCUACAUCAGCUGCUGUCGGAAGGGAGGACACAGCAGCCCUGGUGAGCAUCACCAACGUGAAAGAAGAAAGGACUUGGAUGGAUGAGCUCCUGACACCUCCUCCACCUCCAGCUUGGAAAUGAGCAGUCAGCCUCUCAUAACUGACUAGAUGCACCUCGCUAGUGUGUGAGGAGCCGCCCUCACAUGCCGUUACAAGAUGGCGCUGACAUCCUGUGUUCUAAGUGGUAAACAAAUAAUCUGCGCAUGUGCCAGGGGUAGUUCUUCACUCCAUGUGCUCUGCCUUCCCCAUGACGACAACUCGGCCAAUGGGCUGCAGCCAAUCAGGGAGCGACACGUCCUAGGCAGAGGAUAACUCUCCUUAAAAGGGACGGGGUUUUGCCAUUUUCUCUCUUGCUCCUGAAGAUGUAAGCAAUAAAGCUUUUGCCGCAGAAGAUUCCGGUUUGUUG